CUACGGUAUUGCUCCCUUAUAAGCUUCGUUGCACAAAUUUUUAAAUCUAUUGUACUGUUAUUAACUCCGUAUUGCACUCUUACCAGCUUCGUUGCACUCUUUCGUAAACUAUUGUUCUGUUAUUCACACUACCUUGCACUAUUAUUUGCGUUUAACUAUGAAGGCGCGAGCUUUUAUGAGAAACCUUACAUAAUUAUUUUCUUAAAUCGUUUAGCAGUUAUGUCACACCUCUCGAACUGCGUACCCGCCGGCGACUGUCCGGCCACGCUGACGCUUAUCUUUUUCAAUCGUUUAGCAGUUAUCUCGCACAUCGCGGACCGUCCUGCCCCGCAGCCGACCGUGCAGCGCCGCCGAUGCUUCGCCUGCAUUUGGAGGGGACGCCGUUCAUUUGCACUUUUAACUUCAGAUUAUAUUAAUAAAUAAAUAAAGUAAAAUUUUGACUGGGUAUGUCGAGAUUGCACUGGAGCUAGCCUAGGGAUGCACUGUUAGAAGGUCGGUUGCACCAUUUUUCGUGGCGUUGCUUCAUUGCGUUGCACUAUUAUCCCUAUUGCGGGGCGUGCAGUUUUUGUCAUUUAGCUUCAGAAAUUUUAGUAGUAAAACCGAACAGCAAACAGCGGGGCCGACGAAUAGGGCGGCGGAUGUGGUCCGAGUUCCGAUAAAUGAGCGAGGUUGCGUAAGGCGGAAGCGGCGCAUUUAAUGAGCGCCAGACCGUAGGACAGGGUAGUAUACGUAUGUCAAGAAAUACGUGGGAGGCUAUUAUAUACGAGGGGCAUUUUGGUUAGGCAGCGAAAAAAGCGGACCGAAUCUGCAAAAACAAAAAAGGUGGCCCGGUUUUGCAAAAGCCCAAAAUAAGUGGAUUUUUUAUGCAAAUUGGCCAUUAUAAUUUUACUCCAUUUUUUGGAGUAUAGUUUAACUAUACUUCAAAAAUUACGUCAUUUUUUUUUUCUUACAAACGUUUCACAGGAUAAUUUUCCUGCCAGUGUAACAUAGUUU
rnacentral:lncRNA from 1 species